GAACAACUCACGCAAAUACACAAGGAGAAGCCAGUGUGCCUAGAUCAUCAAUAAAAACAAAACGUUAAAGUAAAAGUAACGUUAUUUGCUAUUGCUAUUGCUAUUGCAACAGUCAGAAUGUCUACAUCAAACAAUUGGGAGAUAAAAUAUUUUGAAAAGUCUGAGAAUUUUCGAGCAAAAUGUAUAUCUUGUGGAGAUACAUUUACGUAUUGUAAUAUGGAACCAGCAAAUUAUCAUUUCGACCAAAAACAUCCAAAUACAGAACAAGAGACUGUUAUUUGGAAACAGCUGUAUUUUAAAAGUUAUAGCAAUUCACACUGGCAAUGCACUUAUUGUCCGCAAACUUAUUUGAAGACAACAUCGUCCCCCAUAUUAUGUGAACAUUUGCAAUUUGUGCAUAAUAAAUGUCCAAUAAUAAAAUUCCCAUGUUAUAUGGGCUGUAUAGAGGAGCAUAUUAAACAGCGCGAUGAUUAUAGCGCGCAGUGUAAGAAAUGUGGUCAGAUUAUACAGUUUAGCAUUUCCCCUCGACUAGAGGACCACAUUUUCACACGUCAUUUCAGCAUAUGGAUAAACGAAGAACAGAAUGCAAAUAAACAAUCAGAAAUCAAUAUGCUUGGGCCAUCGACAAGUGCAUGAUAACAUUAAAGGCAAAAACAAUGUUGCUGUAUCCAGAACAAAUUUUGAUGACGUUUUUACAUUCAAAAAGAUACUACUGUUCUACGGUUCUACAUACGACCAGCGGAAGCAACAAUCUCGACUUAGACGAAUUAAUUGAUUUGAAAUAUCUGAGAAAAACCAAUAUAUCUAUGACAUAUAUAUAAUCAA
rnacentral:lncRNA from 1 species